UGUUUAAAGAUCCUAAAAUCUCCUUGGUAUCUUCAGUACCAUACUCUAUUUAAUUAAGCUAUUUAAAC
rnacentral:tRNA from 1 species